ACUGUUGCCCUGGCCAACAACUUAACUGCAACCUCAAGAGAUACCUACCCUGAGUCAGAACCACCCAGUCAAACUACCCCUGGCAUCUUAACUCAGAGUAACUGCCCCGUUGACUGGAGGAUGGCCAUUUGACAACACAUUAUUUCCUGAGGAAACUUUUGACUUCUGGUGACUUGGGCCCCAGGCUGGCUGAAUUUGCCAAGACCCGGCUUUGCCCUUGCAUGUGUGAAAAAUGGCCUCAAGUAUGACCCCAUGGCAAGAUGGAAAGAAACUGUGCUCUUGAAUAGCUUAGAGGUUCAGAGCCCCCCAACCAGCUUGAAACGCCCACCUCAAAACAAUGACAUGAGAAGAAACAAACCUCUAAUUUAAGCCACUGUCUUUUUAAGAG
rnacentral:lncRNA from 1 species